rnacentral:rRNA from 1 species
CAAUAGCGUAUAUUAAAGUUGUUGCGGUUAAAAAGCUCGUAGUUGGAUUUCUGCUGAGAACGACCGGUCCGCCCUUUGGGUGUGUAUCUGGCUCUUUCUUGGCAUCUUCUUGGUGAACGUUGCUGCACUUGACUGUGUGGAGCGCUACCCAGGACUUUUACUUUGAGGAAAUUAGAGUGUUUCAAGCAGGCAUACGCCUUGAAUACAUUAGCAUGGAAUAAUAAGAUAGGACCUCGGUUCUAUUUUGUUGGUUUCUAGAGCUGAGGUAAUGAUUAAUAGGGAUAGUUGGGGGCAUUCGUAUUUAACUGUCAGAGGUGAAAUUCUUGGAUUUGUUAAAGACGGACUACUGCGAAANCANNNGCGAAGGAUGUUUUCAUNGG